UAACUCGAAGAUAGUCCGCUUCUUUAUGUCCAUAUCCGUGCUCCUUCCACCAAGCCGAACAUAAUUCAUUUCGAAUAACGCAACAUGGCGAAGCAACUGGUCCAGUGCGUGAUUUGUCUGAGCCGCGAUGAUAAUGGGUGGAUCGGUGGAGGGUAUGGUUGCAAGGAGCAACCUCAAUGCAAUGACGGAGACAUGAGUUUUGCCGGUUCCCGGCGGACCUUGUACGAUAGCCAAUCUUUUCAUGAGAAUUUGGCGUAGCGCAUUCCACUGAGAAGAAUCCAGAGAUUCAGGAGGAGGUGGCCAGUUGUUAAGAACAUCCACUUUUUCACCCUCUUCACCGAUAACAGACAUGUCAAUGAACGGAUUCAGCUUGAUGUACUCGGGGGGUUCAAUAUUAGGCUGAAGACCACACAAGUAUUCCGAGAAGGGGAAGCUUUUAAAAUAUCAUCAGAUAUACUCUUAAUGCACACGAAGUCGUAAAUAUGAACG
rnacentral:sRNA from 1 species